ACGUCCUUACCACACUGAAUAUACCCGGUUUUCGUCUAAUCACCGAGAUUAAGCAGCGUCGGGCGCGGUCAGUACUUGGAUGGGUGACCGCCUGGGAACACCGCGUG
rnacentral:rRNA from 1 species